AAUUUAAAAGGAUGAAAAAGGAGAGAAAAUUCCAUGAAAAUUUUGGGAAUUUUGGGGAAAAAAAAAUUUAAUUUUUAUUUUUUUUUUUUUUUUUCUGGGAAUUUUUAGGGAAUGAGAAGGAAAAAAAAAAUUGGGAAAAUGUCCCCAAAAUGAGGGAAAAAUUCCUGGAAUUUUUAAGGGAAAAUCCUGGUAUUUUUAAGGGAAAAUUCCUGGAAUUUUUAAGGGAAAAUCCUGGAAUUUUUAAAGGGAAAAAUCCUGGAAUUUUUAAGGGAAAAAUCCUGGAAUUUUAAAGUGAAAAUUCCUGAAAUUUUUAAGGAAAAAUCUGGAAUUUUUAAGGAAAAUCCUGGAACUUUUUAUGGAAAAUCCCUGAAAUUUCAGAGUCUCAAAAUUAAGGAAAAUUCCCCAAAAAAAUCCAGGAAAAUUCCCACAAAUUUGGGAGAAUUCGCCCCAAAAAUUCGGGAAAUUGAUCCCAAAAUUCGGGAAAAUCCCAAAUUCAGGCGGAAAAAUCCGAUUUUGGGGGUUUUGACCACCAAAAAAUGGGAUUUUGGGGUUUUUUGGGGAAUUUUUGGGUGGAUUUUGGGAAUUUUUGGGGAUUUUUGGGGAAUUUUUGGGGUUUUUUUGGGGUUUUUUUUUGUAGAUUUUGGUUUUUUUGGGAAUUUUUGGGAAUUUUUUCGGUGGAUUUUGGGAAUUUUUGGGAAUUUUUUGGGUUUUUUUGUGGAUUUUGGGGUUUUUUUGGAAUUUUUGGGUGGAUUUGGGAUUUUUUUUGUUUUUUGGGCAUUUUUGGGUGAAUUUUGGGAUAAAUUUGGGGAUUUUUGGGUCAAAUUUGGGAUUUUUGGGUCGAAUUUGGGGUUUUUUGGGACCCCGGAUCCGAUUUUGGGGUUUUUGGGGCUGAUUUUUGUUGUUUUUGGGGUGAAUUUGGGGGAUUUUGGGUUCAAUUUUGAAUUUUUGGGAGUGAAUUUUGGGAUAAAUUUUGUUGUUUUUGGGAUAAAUUUGGGGAUUUUUGGGGUAAAUUUUGUUAUUUUUGGGUCGAAUUUGGGGUUUUUUGGGUCAAAUUUGGGGAUUUUUGGGUCGAAUUUGGGGUUUUUUGGGUCGAAUUUUGUUAUUUUUGGGUCGAAUUUGGGG
rnacentral:lncRNA from 1 species